AGCAGCCGCGGUAAUUCCAGCUCCAAUAGCGUAUAUUAAAGUUGUUGCGGUUAAAAAGCUCGUAGUUGAAUUUCGGGGUUAGUAGGUUGGUCAUGCCUCUGGUAUGUACUGGUCUCACUGAUUCCUCCUUCCUGAUGAGCCGUAAUGCCAUUAAUUUGGUGUUGCGGGGAAUUUGGACUGUUACUUUGAAAAAAUUAGAGUGUUUAAAGCAAGCUAACGCUUGAAUACAUUAGCAUGGAAUAAUGAAAUAGGACGUUCGAUCCUAUUUUGUUGGUUUCUAGGAUUGACGUAAUGAUUAAUAGGGAUAGUUGGGGGCAUUAGUAUUCAAUUGUCAGAGGUGAAAUUCUUGGAUUUAUUGAAGACUAACUACUGCGAAAGCAUUUGCCAAGGAUGUUUUCAUUAAUCAAGAACGAAAGUUAGGGGAUCGAAGACGAUCAGAUACCGUCGUAGUCUUAACCAUAAACUAUGCCGACUAGGGAUCGGAUGAUGUUAAUUUUUUAAUGACUCA
rnacentral:rRNA from 1 species